GUUGCCCAGCUGCAGAGUGGCAAUGCUGGAAUUUGAAGCCAGGCUUUUCUGAUUCUGAAUUCCAUGUUUUCUUACUUGCCUUUUUCUUCUGCUCCAGCUUGCAGUGCCUCGGAGAGGUGGCGCUGGCUAGCCUGGGACUUCCAACAUACAGCCUACAUUGAUGGCCUGAGACUUGUGGCAAAAAAGACUUUCAAAAUCUAAUUUGCUCACAUACAUGAACACCUGCCAGGAAGGAAUUUGAGGCCUUUGUUCUAAACAUGGAAAAGCUGAGUUCAUUUGCCCCAGAGGGGGCACCUGCAGGGAAAAGGAAAAAUGGUUUUAACCCUUUCCUUGAGUCAGAAAAUGAGGCCACCAGAUUCUCCUUUCAUCCUUCAAGUAUCAGAAAGGUCUGUGCUGUGAAUUCCACAGAUGAGAUUCAUUGCAAGAUGUGAGGGCAGAGGAAAUCCAUGGAAAUGAUUUGCUCCUCCACUGGCUCUUCUUGUAGACACACGACUGCUACAGUAUCAAGGGUCUGAUGCAGACAUGACAAUGUCAAGAGGAAGAGGAGAGCCUCGCUCUUCCCAGGCUUUUGCUUUUAAGAGCAGAAAAACUUUCCCCAGAGUUCCACCAGCUCACUUCUCAUCUUACUUCUUUGGCCAGAACUGGCCCUUGUGCCCAUAUUGUCAGUCAAAUGCCGACAAAGGAAAGGGGCCACUAUGAGUGGUUUAGACUUGGAUUGGAUUUGUCCUUAUUGGAUUGUCCUUAAGUCCUUUGAAAAAGAAGUAUACAACAGAAUGAAAUCUUGACUCAGCUUUCAAGAAUAAAGAGGGUGAGAUGACUGAUGGAUGGCUAGCAAAAUCAGAUGUGGGCUCUGUCCUCAUGGAGCAUACAGUCAGAAGGGGAAGAUUUACCUAAUUACACUAACAAACUUAUAACUGUGGUCAGUGUUCUGAAGGAAAGGAAAUCCAGUUGUAUGGUAACGUAUAACAAAGAAACUGAACUAGGAUGGAGAUGGGGGUGGUAAGUGUAGUUGGGGAAGCCAGGGACAUGAUCUGUAAGAUGGCUGGCCUGGAUUCAAAUUCCACUCCACUUACUUGCUGUGUGAUUUUAGAUUAGUCGCUUCUCCUCUCUGAGCUCAACUUCAUCUAUAACAAUCUUUCCUAGGGUUGUUAAAGGAUUGAAUGAGCCACUCUAUGUAACCACUUGACACAUAUUAGGCACUUCAGUGGCUCCUUUUCCAGAUUAAAGAAGGAGAAAACGUGUAUGUUUGGAGUUAGCACAAGACAGGAUGAUUCCUCAUGUUUGUUUUGGAAAACAAGUCUUAAACUCACAGCCAUGACAGAGUCUGACAUCAUCAGACAUCAGGCGUGUUAAGAAUUGCACUCUUAAUUGAAAAUGUCCAGAGUUUGUGAUUAAUUGCAAUCCUUUUCAGAUCCUUUCCCUAAGAAUUUAAUUUUUCUCCCCACCCACCCGGAGGUCAGGCUUUUAAUGUAACAAGUACAAUCAAUCUUCCACUGAAGAUGGCCUCUCUCUAGUGCAAGCUGGAGCAGGACUCAUCUGGAUUAGAAGCCUAGACGGUUUGGAGUCACCUGGUGAGGUUUACGUGCACAGCUGGGGCCCAGCCUACCUAAUUAGGACCAGAGAGUGGUUGAGAAGGGGACCGGCGCGUAUUCUAGGCGCCCUCCUCCAGUGUCUGUUUCUAAUAAUGGCAGAAAGUAGCAGAGGCGGCGGGGUGAGCUUGGAGCGUGGUGACAUCAUCCCUCCAGCUGUUUUACACAUCUGUGACAUGGCUCAUUAGGACUCUCUUAACACCUCAUCCUUCCCUGCUCCACACAGCUCCAGUUGCAUGAGAAAAGGUGCUCUUGCAUGUGAGGGGCCCCAAGACUGGGGCUGACUUCAGGGUCAAAGAUUCGCUUGGGCACUCUACCAGUCAUCAGAAUUUUCACAGAGACACCCCCCCAACACACACACCCGCAGCAUGCGCUCCUUGAAAGUGCUAAUAGCUUCAAUAUGAGGCUGGCACUUCUGCAUGACUGUUGGUGUUCAGGGCCAGCCUAGUCUUGGGGAGUAGGCCAUCUGUAGCAGCUGCAGAAAUGUUUUUGCUUAUUUUGAGCAUUCUAAGUUUUUCCUAGCCAUGAAUAACAACAAUCGAAUAAAUCAUCCCACAGUGUGUAGGAUGGUCGUUUUUUUGUUUUUUUUUUUCAGCAAGAACAACAAAAAAUGACAUAUCAUGUACUAUGGAUAAUACACAUAAAAAAUUCCGCCAUAUUUAUAGGCAGCAGUUAACUAACUAUAUUUAGAUAUUUGAAACUGUCUUAAAUCAGAUGAAUGAUAAAAGCUUCCUGGAUUUCAGUGGAAAGCCUAAAUGACUAAACCAAAAAAAAAAAAAAAAGUUUUAUUACUAUGAAGUAUAGUGCAUAUUCUGAAAUAAAAGAUAUGUGAUAUUUAUAAAAUAAAAAGAGAAACUUUGUCAAUAGACAGCAUCAUUUAAUAAAGCAGGGUCCCAGAUUUACAGACCUUUGUUUGAGUUCUAAAAUUUACUAGGAAGGAGGGUGCAGGGGUGGAAGCCGUUCAUUGUAGCUCUUUAAAUUUCCUCACUUUUGAAUGGAGAUGAUAAAAUGCCCCUCACAGGGUUUUUGAGAGGACUAAAAAUAUAAGGUAUGGAAAGUGUUUAGCAUUGUGCCUAUCACAAAGUUAGUGCUUGAAUAUAUUAGCUAUUGUCAUUAAUACUAUUGCUAUUCUUAUUUCUUCUACAACUGUUAUUGUUGAAAUGCGAAGUCAAAAUGGUACAUUUUUAUCAACUAUUAAGUGCUAUCAUGUUUCAAUUAAUACAUAAUGUUAUUGAUUAGAAGAUGAUUAUAGUAUUGUCUCUAAGGAAGAAAAAAGGCUGCCUGUUAAACCAUGGUUUAACAAAUUCUGGAGUACGGGCGCAGUGGCUCAUGCCUGUAAGCCCAGAACUUUGGGAGGCCGAGGCUCACGAGGUCAGGAGUUGGAGACCAGCCUGACCAACGUGGUGAAACCCCAUCUCUACUAAAAAUGCAAAAAUUAGCCUGGCGUGGUGGCGCACGCCUGUAAUCCCAGGUACUCAGGAGGCUGAGGCAGGAGAAUUGCUUAAACCCAGUAGGCGGAGGUUGCAGUGAGCCGAGAUUGUGCCACUGCACUCCAGCCUGGGCGACAGCGACAGAGCAAGACUCCGUCCGCCCCCCCUCCCGCCCCCACCCUAAAAAAAGAAUCAAAUUCUGGAAAGCAUCAAUCAUCUCUCAGGCCUUUGAAAAUGAUCUAAUUUUGUAGAUCAAACCCUCUGUGCUUGCAGGUAGGCUCACGAAUGCAGAAAGUGCAUGCUGUGAGCCAUGCUGUACACCUCCUCAUUGUCCAUUUCUCUUCUGGUAUCUCUCAAGGUGUGUGGUCAGGUUAAGAGAUUGAGACUUAAGCCAGGCAGGUGUUACUUCCUCUCACCAUGACAAAACCUGGGACAAUGAGAAGAGGAUAGAUUCUUUCCUCCCGAGGGUGCUGAGGCAGGAUCAGAAUCUCUCCCUCGGGUCUGAAACAGAUCAUAUAGAAGGUUCAAAGCUGCAAGAACCAUUCUGAAACCAUAAGAAUCCUGAGAACGAAGCCCACCUCAUGCUAAUUGUGGAGACCAAGCUUAUUUGAGUUUACUUGAGCCCUUGGAUCCAGCCGUGCCUGAAGACUUUUUAAUAACAG
rnacentral:lncRNA from 1 species